UACGUAGGGUGCGAGCGUUAAUCGGAAUUACUGGGCGUAAAGCGUGCGCAGGCGGUUUUGUAAGUCAGAUGUGAAAUCCCCGGGCUUAACCUGGGAACUGCGUUUGAAACUACAAGGCUAGAGUGUGGCAGAGGGGGGUGGAAUUCCACGUGUAGCAGUGAAAUGCGUAGAGAUGUGGAGGAACACCGCUGGCGAAGGCAGCCACCUGGGCCAAUACUGACGCUCAUGCACGAAAGCGUGGGGAGCAAACAGG
rnacentral:rRNA from 1 species